GUCCAUGUUGUCGGAGAAGCCGCCGCUCGCCGUG
rnacentral:SRP_RNA from 1 species